rnacentral:misc_RNA from 1 species
GAUGAAGAACGUAGCGAAAUGCGAUAAGUAAUGCGAAUUGCAGAAUUCCAGUGAGUCAUCGAAUCUUUGAACGCACAUUGCGCCCUUUGGUAUUCCGAAGGGCAUGCCUGUUCGAGCGUCAUUAUCACCCCUCAAGCCCUCGGCUUGGUGUUGGACGGUUUGGUGGAGGCCCCCUCGGGGGUUCCUGCCCCUCCCAAAGACAAUGACGGCGGCCUCGUUGGACCCCCGGUACACUGAGUUCUUCACGGGACACGUAUCGGACACAUGGGUUUACGGGACACGGUCUGCCUCCCCUCAGGGAGAAUCUUUCUAAGGUUGACCUCGGAUCAGGUAGGAAUACCCGCUGAACUUAAGCAUAUCAAUAAGCGGAGGA